CUGUGAGGUGGAGCAAACCCCAGAAAUAACGUCCCAGUUCGGACUGCAGCCUGCAACUCGGCUGCACGAAGCCGGAAUCGCUAGUAAUCGCAGAUCGGCAUGCUGCGGUGAAUACGUUCCCGGGUCUUGUACACACCGCCCGUCACACCAUGGGAGCCGGGAAUGCCCGAAGUCAGCGGCCCAACCGAAAGGAGGGAGCUGCCGAAGGCAGGCCUGGUGACUGGGGUGAAGUCGUAACAAGGUAUC
rnacentral:rRNA from 1 species